rnacentral:lncRNA from 1 species
GAUCUCGGAGUUCAAUCAACAAUAAACAUCAUUUAAUCAAAGAUUCCAAGGCAAAAAUGCAAGAAACAUAAACCGAAAAUACAACCCAUUAAUGGCCGAAAAUCUGGACAGCAACUUCUCUUGUUUAUGGCUGAUUUUUAGGCUCAGGAACAGCUCCCAUGUCAUGCAAAUCACCUUUUAAAGAGAGAGCUAGAAAAUCGGCAAAGAACCUCCUUUGAAACCGCCACCACCGCACCCCUCUCUUCUACCAAGCUUUGAGAAACAUCACCUAUACUUAGCCACUAUUUCAGGCCUAAGUUAUCACAAGGGACACUCAAGGAGAAGCUCACAAGAAGGCACUCUCAAGAACACUCACAAUAAGGUGCAAAUGGAGAGAGAAGUCUUAGGGAGAAGAGAGAGGGCCGAAUUUUAAGAGAGAAAGACUUGUUUUGCCAAAAACGUGAGAAACCCCUAUUUGGUGGAAAAUAGCCAAAGCUUCUUACACAAGCUAAAGCAACAAAAAAUAUCUCACAUAGAAUAAAUCCCAGCCGUCAAUCCCAUCCAAUGGUCCACAAUAAAACUAGACAAGCACAAUCCAUGUAAAUGACACAAAUAGCACUUAAAUUUAAUGGAGUUAAGAGAACCAUAUUCUCACAUUCUUCACCUUGGUUUUCAUAACACUCUCUCUCGGUUGUGAAUUUGCACAUGGAAGAACUGUUCAUCAUCAUCGCCCACUACCUGCAAGAAAAAUUAACCAAUGUCAAUAUGUAAUAAAGAUAAGCACAAUUUAAAUUUAUCUGCAUGUAGAAUUUUUGUUCCCACAUCAGAGGGAUUCCUAUCAGUGUGAAUUUUAACAAGAUUAACUUCACCUUGAGACAGUUUCUCACGAAUAAAAUAAUACUUCACCUCAAUAUGUUUAGUUCUUUCAUGAUAAACAUGAUUCUUACACAGCGAUAAAGCACUUUGACUAUCAGUAAACAUAACAGGUGUAUCAUGCAUGAAGUUCAAUUCUUUUAAAAUUCCUUUUAACCAGGUACAUACCUUAACCACCUCGGUUAUGGCAACAUACUCUGCCUCAGUACUUGACAAAGUAACUAAAGGCUAUAGCUGUGACUUCCAUGUUAUACAAUUGUCACCAAGUGUAAAAAAGUAAGCUGUGGUAAACUUUCUGUUAUCCUUGUCACCUGCAAAAUCAGAAUCUACAUAUCUCUUUAGAGUAAGUUUUUCAGAUCUUUUUUCAUACACAAGACCCAGAUUUAAUGUACCAACAAUGUACCUUAACAACCAUUUCAAACCUGCCCAAUGGGGCUUUCCGAGGUUGGACAUAAAUCUGCUCAAAAAACUUAUAGCAUAAGCUAAAUCAGGUCUGGUUGUUAUCAUAGAGAACAUAACGGAACCUAUAGCAUUAGAGUAGGGUCUGUUCCUCAUUUCUCUAAAUUCCUCCUCUGUUUUAGGAGAAUGUGCACUAGAAAGAUUCAUGUGAGCUGCUAAGGGAACGUUCACAGAUUUUGAUCUAUUCAUACCAAAUUUAGUUAUGACUUUGUUUAGAUAGGCUUCUUGGAAAACGACUAGUCUAUUUUCAGCCCUAUCUCUCUUUAUAACCAUCCCCAAAAUCUUCUUAGCACUCCCCAAAUCUUUCAUAUCGAAUUCUGAUUUUAAAAGGUUCUUCAUCUUAGUGAUUUCAGUCUUACUUGAACUUGCUAGAAGCAUGUCAUCUACAUACAGCAACAAGUAGACCGUACAAUCCUCCUUACUAUCAUUAUAGUACAAGCAUGCAUCAUAUUCACUCCUUUUAAAACCUAUCUUCAGUACAUAGGUAUCGAACCUUAUGUACUACUGUCUAGGGCUUUGUUUAAACCCAUACAGAGAUCUUUCUAAUUUGCACACACAGUUUAUUUUACCUUUCACCUCAAAACCUUGAGGCUGACUCAUGUAAAUAUCCUCUUCCAAUUCCCCAUGUAGGAAAUCAGUCUUGACAUCUAGUUGUUCCAGUUCCCAGUUGAACUGAACAACCAAUGCAAAAACCAGUCUAAUUGUUUUGUACUUUAUCACAAUAGAGAAUAUCUCAUUGUAAUCAACCCCCUCUUUUUGAGUAAACCCCUUCGCCACUAAUCUGGCCUUAUACCUAGGAGGAUCACUAGGAUUAUUUCCUUCUUUCAAUUUGUAAAUCCACUUACAUUGAACUAUCCUAUGAUCCUUAAGUUUGUUAACCAACUUCCAAGUUUUAUUCUCGAUUAAAGAUUCCAUUUCUUCCUGCAUAGCUUUUAGCUAAUUUUCAGAACAUUUUCCAUUAACAGCUUCUUCAUAACUAGCAGGUUCUAUCUGUUCAAAGGCUUCACCUAAAGCCAAAGCAAAAUCAGUCAAGUUUAGGGAUUCAUAUCUAGGAUUUGGCCUGAUCUGCCUCCUCCCCCGAUCCCUAGUAAGCUGAUAAUCUUGAUUAGGUGGCUGAUCAUUAAAAUGUUCAACUUCAACUGGUUCAAUGUUAUCUUGAAGUUCAGUCACCUCUUCAGGUUCAGGUUCAGGUUCAAUUAUAAUUUCAUUUUCAUUUUCAUGAUGUAUAGGGUCAUUUUAGUCAUUCCCAGGUGUAGGUGAAUUUAGCCUAGUCAGCUUCACCUCAGUCUCAAUACUCUUCUCAGUUUCAGAUUUGUUAGUUUCUUCGAUUUUCUGUUUUAGAUAUGGCAUCUCAGAUUCAUUAAAGACUACAUUUCUGCUGUUAAUAAUCUUAAUGCAUUGGACCCCUAAAACCUAUAACCUAUAGCCCUUCACACCCUCGGGAUACCCUAACAUCACACACUUGACAGCCCUCGGCUCAAGUUUUCCUUCAGAUUGGUGUGCAUAUGCAGCACAUCCAAACACCCUCAAGUGUUCUAGAUUUGGAGGCUCUCCCGUCCACAACUCCUGUGGGGUCUUAAACUCUAUACUGCUGGACGGAGACCUAUUAAUCAAAUAAGCUGCAGUACUUGCAGCUUCAGCCCAAAAGCCUUUUGCAAAGCCAGAUCUAAUCAACAUACACCUAACUUUGUUCAUUAUGGUCCUGUUCAUUCUUUCAGCGAUCCCAUUUUGUUCAGGUGUGUAUUUAACAGUUCUGUGUCUUGUUAUACAUUUCUGCUUACAGAAGUUGUCAAAUUCGAUAUUACAGAAUUCAAGUCCAUUAUCAGUUCUUAACGUUUUAAGUUUCUUGUCUAACUGAUUCUCAACAGAUUUUAACCAAACCCAAAAGUUUCCAACUUAGCCUUCAAAUGAUAAAUCCAAACUUUUCUUAAGUAAUCAUCCACUAAGGACAAGAAGUACUUGCUUCCACCAAAUGUAGAGUGCUUCUCCGGGCCCCAUAGAUCAGCAUGGACAUAGUCCAAUAGUUUGCUGGUCCUAUGAGAGCUAGCUUCAAAGCUCACCUUAUGGGACUCACCCAAAACACAAGUUUCACAGAAUUCCAUAGCUUCGAUGUCAUCUUUUCCAAGUAAUUUCUGAUUACUUAAAGAUUUUAGCCCUUUAAACCCAAUGUGACCCAUUCUAUUAUGCCAAAGUUCAGUUUUGUCUUUACUCACAGUAAGAAGGCUAGAAUCAACUGGUAUUUCAGUUCUACCCUCAAAAUAGUACAGUCCAUUCCUCUUAGGCCCUUUUAUAACUAUGAGAGAACCCUUCAUAAUUUUCAAAAUCUUGUUACCAGACUUGAAGGUAUAUCCCUCAUCUUUAAGAGAACCUAAGGAAAUGAGGUUCCUCUUUAAAUUAGGGACAUAUCUAACAUUUCUAAGUUGCGUAAUGGCCCCAUCGUACAUUCUGAUGGCUAUGUCACCAACUCCAACCACAUUUUGAGAAUUAUUGUCUCCUAUGUAGACCUUCCUAAAUUCAGUCUCUCUAUAGUUAUAGAACCAAGACCUAUCAGGGCACAUAUGGAAAGUGCACCCUAUGUCUAGAAUCUAAUUUUUAUCAAAUUCUUCCUCAGACACAUUCAUGACAUGCAAACUAUCAAAUUCAGAAACAAUAGCAAUAUUAUCAACAUCAGAAUUGUUCGGGUCUUUUUGUUUCCUUUCCCAGUCGAAGCAGUCUUUCUUGAAAUGUCCUAACUUUCCACAGUGAUAACAUUUCUUACCGCUUUUAUCUUUAGAUUUGGAUCUCAUUUUAGAUUUUCAUCUCCCCUUCUUAUUAUGGAAGUUAAAUUCUUUCUUUUCAAGUCUUCCCCUAACAAAUAGACUCUCUUCUCGGGAAUAAGUUCUGUUGUCUCUUUUUAAUUCAAGUUCUCUUGAUUUUAAAGCAUUGGAAACAAUAGCUUGAGUGAAAGUGUCCCUACCAUAUUUUAUGGCAUUUUUCAUUUCUAUGUAAGAUUCGGGCAAAGAGUUUAGCAAUAUGACAGCUAAAUCCUCAUUGUCAAAUUUUUUAUCAUUAUGAGCUAGACUCUUAACAAUUAUGCUAAAGUCACUCAAAUUUCCCUCGACAUCCUUCCCCGGGUCCAUCUUAAAACUAAACAACUUUUCCAACAGGUAUAUUUUGUUAGGUAAAGUUUUAGUUAAAAACAAGGCAUCUAAAGUAGUCCACAAAGUUCUAGUAGUUUUAGCACUAUCAACUUGUCUUACAAUGUUGUCAGAUAGAUACAAAAUUAUAGAACUGUAAGCAAUUUCAUUCAUGUCUUCAAUUUCAGUUGGUUUAGCUUUUAACUCAUCAGAAAAUGUAGCGGGAUCAUCGAGAGCUUUAGCAACUCUCUGUUGGAUCAAAAUGGCCCUCAUUUUCUGUUUCCAUAUCGAGUAAUCCCCCUUUCCAUCGAAUUGCGAUAAUUCGACCCUCGAACCCAUUACAGAUCCUGUAAAAAAGUGGCCUGUACUCGUGGACAUAACAGAAAAGGUUUUGAAAAAUUCUUUUCCAGAUGAUCAAUAUAAAAAUAUGAAUGCCGAGUUAAAAACAAUUUUUUAGAAAUGAAGCACAACAAUGAAAUAAUCCGUUCACGAAACACAGGUAUAUAAUGCAGGUAAAUAUGCUUCCAGGUUACAAAUUAAUCACAAGAAUUCAAUCAACGGAACUCACAAAUAGGCAACCAAGCAAUAAUCAUACAUAAACCGGUAAGAAUAUCAAACCUAACCUAACGGAGAGUUUGAAAUAAUCUUGCCAAACUACUGUUGAAAAACAGUAAAUAUAUCAACAAGUUUCUGAACCGAAUCGCUGUAGACGUCAAGCCAGGGACAAAAUCAUCCAACUUAUUAUGUAAAACCUGAAACACUAAAAUAAACACAUUAAUACGUUCAGCAGGUUAAACUAAAAAAUCUGCCCGAAAAAACCUCGCCGGAGACCGCCCACGCACUGCAGCCGAAAAAUUCACGCGCCACCCCACCAGCACCUCCUUGAUCUGCAGAGCACGCCGGUGGUCUCAGAUUUUCCAAAUUCCUUCUGGUUUGGCGGGAAAUCGCGUUUGAAGGUCUGAUUUUCACACAGAUUUUGGACAGCCUUUUUUCCUGUUUUCUGCCGAUUUUUCUGGUCUAUUUUCUGCUGUUUUUCAGCCUCAAAAACUCCACAACCUGGCUUUGAUACCAAUUUGUUGGGAGUUCAAUCAACAAUAAACAUCAUUUAAUCAAAGAUUCCAAGGUAAAAAUGCGAGAAACAUAAAUCGAAAAUACAACCCAUUAAUAGCCGAAAAUCUGGACAGCAACUUCUCUUGUUUAUGGCUGAUUUUCAGGCUCAGGAACAGCUCCCAUGUCAUGCAAAUCACCUUCCAAAGAGAGAGCUAGAAAACCGGCAAAGAACCUCCUUUGAAACCGCCACCACCGCACCCCUCUUCUACCAAACUUUGAGAAACAUCACCUAUACUUAGCCACUAUUUCAGGCCUAAGUUAUCACAAGGGACACUCGAGAAGAAGCUCACAAGAAGACACUCUCAAGAACACUCACAAUAAGGUGCAAAUGGAGAGAGAAGUCUUGAAGAGAAGAGAAGAGAGAGGGCCGAAUUUCAAGAGAAAAAGACUUGUUUUGCCAAAAACGUGAGAAACCCCUAUUUGGUGGGAAAUAGUCAAAGCUUCUCACGCAAGCUAAAGCAACAAAAAAUAUCUCACAUAGAAUAAAUCACAGCCGUCGAUCCCAUCCAAUGGUCCACAAUAAAACUAGACAAGGACAAUCCAUGUGAAUAACACAAAUAACACUUAAAUCUAAUGGAGUUAAGAGAACCAUAUUCUCACAGGUGAAAAGAAAGGGAAUGUAUGAAACUAAAAUAUUGAUUUCUUUGCUGAAUUUUCACACCAAAAUCCAUUAAAGAAAUUCAAUUAUCAUGCAAAAAUCCUGCUUACUUGUUCUUGUUUAUCCAUCUUGUAUAGAAGCCAGGCUUAUAAUACAUAACAGAAGAAUAAUCCAAGCAAUAUAAUAAUUGUAUAACUACACCCUCAAUAAUCAC